rnacentral:pre_miRNA from 1 species
CGGGAGUGCAUUGUAGUUGCAUUGCACCUGUUACAUAUUGUGCAAUAUCACUACAAGGCAAUUCUCG